rnacentral:rRNA from 1 species
AGAGUUUGAUCCUGGCUCAGGAUGAACGCUGGCGGCGUGUCUAAGGCAUGCAAGUCGAAUGGGUUUAGACCCAUGGCAAACGGGAGAGUAACACAUUGGUAACCUGCCCUCAACCGGAGGAUAACUCACUGAAAGGUGAGAUAAUACUCCAUUAAUUAGUAAAUCAUAUGUUUUAUUAAUAAAGAUUUAUCGGUUGAGGAGGGGCCUAUGGUCUAUCAGCUUGUUGGUAAGGUAAUGGCUUACCAAGGCUCUGACGGAUAGCGGGUGUGAGAGCACGACCCGUCUCACUGGGACUGAGACACUGCCCAGACACCUACGGGUGGCUGCAGUCAAGAAUAUUCCUCAAUGGGCGAAAGCCUGAAGGAGCGACGCCGCGUGACUGAUGAAGUCCCUCGGGAUGUAAAGGUCUUUUCUUAAGGAAGAAACAAUGACGGUACUUAAGGAAUAAGAGGUUGCUAACUCUGUGCCAGCAGCAGCGGUAAUACAGAGACCUCAAGCGUUAUCCGGAUUGAUUGGGUGUAAAGCGUGCGCAGGCGGCUUAAUAAGCCGGUGGUUAAAUUUUUCGGCUCAACCGAAAAACCGCCAUCGGAACUGUUAGGCUAGAGUGUGGAAGAGGUUAGCGGAAUUGCCGGUGUAACGGUAAAAUGUGUUAAUAUCGGCAAGAACACCAGAGGCGAAGGCGGCUAACUGGUACACAACUGACGCUGUGGCACGAAAGCGUGGGGAGCGAAUGGGAUUAGAUACCCCAGUAGUCCACGCCCUAAACGAUGGAUAUUAGUCAUUGGCAGUAUCGACCCUGUCAGUGGCGGUUAAAAUAGCUAACGCAUUAAAUAUCCCACCUGGGAAGUACGGCCGCAAGGCUAAAACUCAAAGGAAUUGGCGGGGGCCCGCACAAGUGGUGGAGCAUGUGGUUUAAUUCGAUGAUAACCGGAAAACCUCACCAGGGCUUGAAAUGUAGCUACAAAUCCCAAGAAACUGGGACUUCUUCGAGAGUGCUACACAGGUGCUGCAUGGCUGUCGUCAGCUCGUGUCGUGAGAUGUCGGGUUAAGUCCUUUAACGAGCGCAACCCUCAUCUUGUGUUAUAUUAUUCACAAGAAACUGCCUCGCUCAACGAGGAGGAAGGUGGGGAUGACGUCAAAUCAGCAUGGCCCUUACGCCCUGGGCUACACACGUGCUACAAUGGCCGGUACAAAAGGUUGCUAAGUCGCGAGGCGGAGCUAAUCCCAAAAACCGGUCUCAGUUCGGAUUGAAGUCUGAAAUUCGACUUCAUGAAGCUGGAAUUACUAGUAACCGUGAAUCAGCAUGUCACGGUGAAUACGUUCUCGGGCCUUGUACACACCGCCCGUCACACCAAGGGAGUUGGUAAUACCCGAAGGCUGCGCUAGCCGCGGACGAAGGUAGGAUCAGCGACAGGGGUGAAGUCGUAACAAGGCA